CACAAAAUACAAAAUUCUUAAAAAAAUAUAUAUUUUCAAAAAAAAAAAAGAAUUAAUUGAGUUCUUAAGAAGAAAUUAUUUCAAUUAAGAGAAAGAAUUAAAAUACUCAACAAAAAAGUAUGAAAUAAAAAUUCGCCAGCAACAAAUCGUUCAACGCAAAAUCGCAUACGCGCUGUGAAAAUUAGAAUCGUGAACAUUUUUUAAGUACUCGAUUAUUUUAAUUGCUAAAAAAUAACAACAAAGAUUAAGCAAAACAAAAUGUUUUUAACACCCGCUUUCAUCGAACGCAUGCAAAGCGAAUACGAAACGCUUCGUCUGCUCAUACCGCCGCUAAAACGUCAAUUCAAGUCGCACGCAUGCAGUGUUGCGUCGCGAAAUGCCGAAAAAAUGUGAUUGGUUUGGGAAAAUUGCAGAAAAUCAUUUUCAUACAGGCGGAAAUUUAUUAAAAAUCAUUAUUCAUUACUACGGAAAUCCAAAUAGGCUGCACGGGAUCACAAACCACCAUCGCAAAUAAAACUUUGAAAUACUACAGUCGAAGUAAAGCAGCGCUGAAGAAUGUGAGGCCAAAAAAUGAGCUAUACAGCAAAAGUUACAGAAAAGUGUGAAAAGUGAAAAUCAAGCAAAAAUUUACAACAAAAUUGGAAAAAAGCGAAAAAAUCCAAACCAAAUUGUGAAUGUAUUAACUAUUGAAAACUGUUUCGAUAAACCCCCAUUGAGCUAUAAACUACGAAAAAUUUGUGAAAUUUCAGAUAAAAAAUUGAAAAUAAAACAAACUAAAAAAAUUGUGCAAAAAAAAUUGUUCUAAUAAAAAACAAACGAAAACAAUUCUGGAAAACUUGUGCGCUGCUGCUGAAACACACAAAAAAACAGCAAUAAAAGCAACAGGAUUUAUAAGUAAAAGUGAAACUCUAUAAAAAAAUAAUCUUCUAGAAACCCGGAUUUGACAACAACAGCGCAGACAUUUUCUAAUACUGAUUGAGACUGUUGUGAUUGGUUCAAAACAUUUAACGUUGAAAGCAAAAAAAUUACGCGCCACUGCUUUUUCAUGUUUCUGUAAAUUCUGCUGCGUGAAAAAAAGAACGAACUAAAACAGUUGCAGCAAAAAACGUAAACAAAAUUACUAAAUUUAGUUUUUGUUGGUGAUGUGUUCGCACAGCGUAAUCUGUGCAAAAAAAAACAUUGUACCUACAAAAGAAGUGAAAAAAGUGCGGCGAUUAACAUUAACUGAACAAUUAAUUUUUCCACUAGUUUAUGCAAAAAAAAAGUAAAAAAUGAAAUAAAAACUGCAACUUUGACACGGCGAAAACACGAUAAAACAAUUGUAAAACAUUUCGCAUAGUUUUGCUAAAAAAAGACCGAAAAUUUAUAAACAAAAACAUAAAAAAAUUGAGUUAAGAAAGUCGAAACCAGCAGCACAUAAAUACAUACUAAGAAAUAAUAAAAUAAAAAGCCACUUUAU
rnacentral:lncRNA from 1 species